CAGCCGCGGUAACUCCAGCUCCAAUAGCAUAUAUUAAAAUUGCUGCAGUUAAAAAGCUCGUAGUUGGAUCUGGGUUCUGGUUUGGAGACUGCUUGCUCUUAGUGAAUUGAUUUCAUGAAGCUUUGGGCAGCGGUACUUCUAGGCCGAAUCUUCCAGCUGUGUCUGCAUAAGGCUUCGGCUUUGUGUAGAUAGAUUCGUUGUGUGUAAGUUCCCUCACGGGUCUUCACCUUCGUUUCUAUACGCUGUAAUGCCUUUAAUCGGGUGUUCAGUGUGGACAGCACGUUUACUUUGAACAAAUUUGAGUGCUCA
rnacentral:rRNA from 1 species